rnacentral:tRNA from 1 species
AGGGGAUUAGUCUAAUAAAGACUUUUGAUUUCGGCUCAAACAAUUAUGGUUAAAGUCCAUAAUCCCCUU